GGUGGCUCAGAGGUAGAGUGCUUGCCUUGCAUGCAUGAGGCCCUGGGUUCAAUUCCUCAGCACCA
rfam:Dipodomys ordii contig_44121, whole genome shotgun sequence.